rnacentral:rRNA from 1 species
AGACUAAAACUCAAAGGAAUUGACGGGGACCCGCACAAGCGGUGGAGCAUGUGGUUUAAUUCGAUGCUACGCGAAAAACCUUACCACUUUUUGACAUGAAGGUCGUAUCCCUCCUAACAGGGGGAGUCAGUUCGGCUGGACCUUACACAGGUGCUGCAUGGUUGUCGUCAGCUCGUGUCGUGAGAUGUUGGGUUAAGUCCCGCAACGAGCGCAACCCUCAUUCUUAGUUACCAACAGGUAAUGCUGGGCACUCUAAGGAAACUGCCAGUGAUA